rnacentral:lncRNA from 1 species
AUCCAAGUGGAUGGGCCUAAGGAACUUCCGUUGGCUUAAAAGAAAGCAUAAACUCUUAAGCAGUUAUCAGAAAAGCUACUUUUAAGGCCCCCUCUUGGAUGUUCUGAUUGGUGAUUUCUGGAAGCUCCAAGGCCUGACUUUGAUUGAUCAAAUUUCUAGUCUCUCUGGGACUGACUGUACUUUAAAUUUUCCCAGUCACCCACACCUUCUGCCUGACAUUGAGCACAAAUAUUUGGAACUGUGGCAAAUCAUCUGCUGAUACUACUUGGACAUGAAAGCAUGUGAAAAAAAUCAGCACUGUGUCUACAUGAGAUGGGAAAACAGAGACCGAUGGAACUUGCCUUAGAGGAAGAUGGACAAAUGGAUUGGACAGUACAAGUAGAAGGCUCUUUCCAGAGAGGAAGAUGUGCUAGACAUGCCGUGGACACUUCCCUCUUGAACCUGCCUGUGUUUGUCCACCCCAGCCUUGGAGGCGUCUAUGUGGCCAUGCAAGCUGGUACGUUUGCAGUACCCGAAUGGAGCCCUCUUG